rnacentral:rRNA from 1 species
AUGUACGACAGUGCGCGCGUCGGCUCAGUGGAGCGUGCUUCGAAGAGGAAGGCCGCUGCCGGGUCCGACAGCUCAAGCAGGCGCCCAAGCUCCUCCAACUUUCGCCGCAAGAAGGCCAAGCUGGUCCCAGUCGCCGAUAUCCUAGAUCUCCAGUUCUCCAGCACACCUCAGCCGCUCACCAGAGCCAAGCUCAAGCAGCUGACCAAGUGUUGCGACCUCAAUGUGGAGGCCGUUCUUGCUGAAACUACCUCUUCUGGUUCGACCGGCGCUGACCCUGCUGUGGCUUCUGACGUUUCUUCUGCUUCCUCCAUGGGCGACGCUUCUGUUUCUGAUGCAUAG